rnacentral:rRNA from 1 species
GAGUUAUUAUGAAGUAGUUAGAAUAUGUAGUGUAGCGGUGAAAUGCAUAGAUAUUACAUAGAAUACCAAUUGCGAA